CUGUACCUUGAUUGUAAGUUGCUUUGGAUAAAAGCAUCUGCUAAUUGGCUAAAA
rfam:Larimichthys crocea isolate SSNF unplaced genomic scaffold scaffold67, whole genome shotgun sequence.